AGCUUGAAAUAUUUUACUCUAUAUGGAGUGAAUCUCUAUAAACUAACUGUGUCACUUUCUGAAACUGGCAAAAAUCUUUGAACUUUUACACAAUAUAAAAAUUUUUGGGAUGGACCUGUACUUUACCAACAUGCCAAGGUAGUGCCACAAAGAGGACACACUAUCUCAGCAGGAAAACAAGUCAUCGAUGUAGUCCAUGGUUCCGUCCAGGACCUCAGUCCACUGCCUCCUAGUUGUCAAGGUUAUUGGAAGAGCUACCUUCUGGAAAUUCCUCAAUGUUCCUCUGGUUUCUCCAAUGGCUGCUCCCCUGGCUGAUACCCUGGACCCAACAUCAGAACCAUUCGUUACUGCACCUACAACUCUCACCUGCCUGUCCACCCUCCAACGCUCUGCUGUUUGUGUUAAUAAACCAUUUAAAGUGUC